rnacentral:rRNA from 1 species
UUUGAUCCUGGCUCAGGAUGAACGCUGGCGGCGUGCUUAACACAUGCAAGUCGAACGAUGAUCCGGUGCUUGCGCCGGGGAUUAGUGGCGAACGGGUGAGUAACACGUGAGUAACCUGCCCUUGACUCUGGGAUAAGCCUGGGAAACUGGGUCUAAUACCGGAUAUGACUCCUCAUCGCAUGGUGGGGGGUGGAAAGCUUUUUGUGGUUUUGGAUGGACUCGCGGCCUAUCAGCUUGUUGGUGGGGUAAUGGCCUACCAAGGCGACGACGGGUAGCCGGCCUGAGAGGGUGACCGGCCACACUGGGACUGAGACACGGCCCAGACUCCUACGGGAGGCAGCAGUGGGGAAUAUUGCACAAUGGGCGAAAGCCUGAUGCAGCGACGCCGCGUGAGGGAUGACGGCCUUCGGGUUGUAAACCUCUUUCAGUAGGGAAGAAGCCCUCUUUGGGGGUGACGGUACUUGCAGAAGAAGCGCCGGCUAACUACGUGCCAGCAGCCGCGGUAAUACGUAGGGCGCAAGCGUUAUCCGGAAUUAUUGGGCGUAAAGAGCUCGUAGGCGGUUUGUCGCGUCUGCUGUGAAAGACCGGGGCUCAACUCCGGUUCUGCAGUGGGUACGGGCAGACUAGAGUGCAGUAGGGGAGACUGGAAUUCCUGGUGUAGCGGUGAAAUGCGCAGAUAUCAGGAGGAACACCGAUGGCGAAGGCAGGUNNNNNGGCUGUAAC